AGCGCAGGCGGUUUCUUAAGUCUGAUGUGAAAGCCUUCGGCUCAACCGAAGAAGUGCAUCGGAAACUGAGAAACUUGAGUGCAGAAGAGGACAGUGGAACUCCAUGUGUAGCGGUGAAAUGCGUAGAUAUAUGGAAGAACACCAGUGGCGAAGGCGGCUGUCUGGUCUGUAACUGACGCUGAGGCUCGAAAGCAUGGGUAGCAAACA
rnacentral:rRNA from 1 species